rnacentral:rRNA from 1 species
GACGAACGCUGGCGGCGUGCCUAAUACAUGCAAGUCGAACGCAGUGGGGACGGGUGAGUAACACGUGGGUAACCUCCCCUCAGAGGGGAUAACACUUGGAAACAGGUGCUAAAACGAUACUGAUGGAUGGAACCGCGGUGCAUUAGCUCGUUGGUGAGGUAACGGCUAACCAAGGCAACGAUGCAUAGCCGCCGUGAGAGGGUGAUCGGCCCCACUGGGACUGAGCCACGGCCCAGACUCCUACGGGUGGCAGCAUUAGGGAAUCUUCGGCAAUGUACGAAAGUCUGACCGAGCAACGCCGAGUGAGUGAAGAAGUUUUUCGGAUCGUAAAACUCUGUUGUUAGAGAAGCGGUAUCUAACCAGAAAGCCACGGCUAACUACGUGCCAGCCGCCGCGGUAAUUC